rnacentral:rRNA from 1 species
UACGUAGGGUGCAAGCGUUAAUCGGAAUUACUGGGCGUAAAGCGUGCGCAGGCGGUUUUGUAAGACAGAUGUGAAAUGCCCGGGCUUAACCUGGGAACUGCAUUUGUGACUGCAAGGCUAGAGUUUGGCAGAGGGGGGUAGAAUUCCACGUGUAGCAGUGUAAUGCGUAGAUAUGUGGAGGAAUACCGAUGGCGAAGGCAGCCCCCUGGGUCAAGACUGACGCUCAUGCACGAAAGCGUGGGGAGCAAACAGG